rnacentral:rRNA from 1 species
UUUUAUUUGAGAGUUUGAUCCUGGCUCAGGAUGAACGCUGGCGGCGUGCCUAACACAUGCAAGUUGAGCGAUUUACUUCGGUAAAGAGCGGCGGACGGGUGAGUAACGCGUGGGUAACCUACCCUGUACACACGGAUAACAUACCGAAAGGUAUGCUAAUACGGGAUAAUAUAUUUGAGAGGCAUCUCUUAAAUAUCAAAGGUGAGCCAGUACAGGAUGGACCCGCGUCUGCUUAGCUAGUUGGUAAGGUAACGGCUUACCAAGGCGACGCUCAGUAGCCGACCUGAGAGGGUGAUCGGCCACCUUGGAACUGAGACACGGUCCACACUCCUCCGGGAGGAAGCAGUGGGGCAUAUGGCACAAUGGGCGAACGCCUGCUGCAGCAACGCCGCGUGAGUGAGGAAGGCCUUCGG